UACGGGGGGAGCAAGCGUUGUUCGGAAUUACUGGGUGUAAAGGGUUCGUAGGCGGUGUAGCAAGUCGGGAGUGAAAUCUCUGGGCUUAACCCAGAGGCUGCUUCCGAAACUGCUGUGCUUGAGUGUGGGAGAGGCGCGUGGAAUUGCAGGUGUAGCGGUGAAAUGCGUAGAUAUCUGCAGGAACACCCGUGGUGAAAGCGGCGCGCUGGACCACUACUGACGCUGAGGAACGAAAGCUAGGGGAGCAAACAGG
rnacentral:rRNA from 1 species